AACCAGUGAUGAAGUUAGAUUCUGCCAGAUGAGUGCCAAUGAUAUUAACAGCAUUCCGUUCCACUUCCUGAGGUU